rnacentral:piRNA from 1 species
UGUAGUUGCAGCACGCUUAUAUGGACACUA